rnacentral:tRNA from 1 species
GGUGGGGUAGCUCAGCUGGUUAGAGCGCAGGACUCAUAAUCCUGAGGUCGGGAGUUCAAGUCUCCCUCCCACUACCA